GAAACAAUGUCCUAUUCUUUCCG
rnacentral:snRNA from 1 species